GUCAUUUGAAUUCCGCAUAAUUCAAACGAAUUCUUAGUAUUUUUCUCUUUUGAAUUCUUUUUCUAAGAUUUAAUGUCUCACCUCUCAGUUACCAUGUGAAGUUGCAUCUCGCUAGAGACGUGAGAAAUCUCCUGGAACCAUUGUGGGAGGUAACCACAGAGGUGUGCGCUGAAAAAUCCGUAACUUUGAGCAAAUGUAGCCCGCCAGCCUCGAUCGUUUACACAAACCUAGAGCAUUAUCCUGUGAAUCAUCUUGGUACUUUUAAUCUAAAAUAUAGAUUACUCAGGGAACUUAAAACGAGGAUUCGCAAUCUGGAAAAAGUAGGGAUCGCUGUGAUCGCUACUAUCUUCGAUCCCCGUUUCAAAAAACGCCACUUCCAGAGUGCUCUGAAUGUGGGAACUGCUGUUUUGACAAUCGGAAAUCUAAUCAAAUAAAAAGCCAGGGUGCAAGCGAAUCCCGAACUGGAAGCUGGCCGUGUAACACUAGCACCGCCAGCUGGUGUUAACAAAAAGAAAAUAUGGAUCGACCAUAAUGCCAAGAGGACUGAACAAUCUCCUGACACCGACCAGGAUGAAGCAGGAGGUAUAGCAAUAGAGCUUCGCCAGUAUUUAAGCAGGCCUGUUGUUCCACAGGAAACCAACCCUUACCAGGAGUGGGACAACAUGAAGUCGCAAUAUCCCCGGCUCUACGAACUGGCCAUGGAAUAUCUGCCAAUCCUCGCAGCUUCAGUUCCGUCGGAAAGGCUUUUCUCGAAAGCAGGCCUUUUAGUAACGAAGCUACGAAACAGGCUUUCAGCGAAACAUAUUAACCAGUUGGUAUUUCUUUCGUCAGUUGAACGGUAAUUUUGGAUGUGUUGAGAUGCAUAAAUUUUAAGGUUAAAAUUGUAAAUACGGCAAAUACAUGUAACAACU